rnacentral:rRNA from 1 species
UNUGAAGUUAAAGGCUGUGGCUUAACCAUAGUACGCUUUGGAAACUGUUUAACUNGAGUGCAGAAGGGGAGAGUGGAAUUCCAUGUGUAGCGGUGAAAUGCGUAGAUAUAUGGAGGAACACCGGUGGCGAAAGCGGCUCUCUGGUCUGUAACUGACGCUGAGACUCGAAAGCGUGGGGAGCGAACAGGAUUAGAUACCCUGGUAGUCCACGCCGUAAACGAUGAGUGCUAGGUGUUAGGCCCUUUCCGGGGCUUAGUGCCGCAGCUAACGCAUUAAGCACUCCGCCUGGGGAGUACGACCGCAAGGUUGAAACUCAAAGGAAUUGACGGGGGCCCGCACAAGCGGUGGAGCAUGUGGUUUAAUUCGAAGCAACGCGAAGAACCUUACCAGGUCUUGACAUCCCGAUGCCCGCUCUAGAGAUAGAGUUUUACUUCGGUACAUCGGUGACAGGUGGUGCAUGGUUGUCGUCAGCUCGUGUCGUGAGAUGUUGGGUUAAGUCCCGCAACGAGCGCAACCCUUAUUGUUAGUUGCCAUCAUUCCGUUGGGCACUCUAGCGAGACUGCCGGUAAUAAACCGGAGGAAGGUGGGGAUGACGUCAAAUCAUCAUGCCCCUUAUGACCUGGGCUACACACGUGCUACAAUGGCUGGUACAACGAGUCGCAAGUCGGUGACGGCAAGCUAAUCUCUUAAAGCCAGUCUCAGUUCGGAUUGUAGGCUGCAACUCGCCUACAUGAAGUCGGAAUCGCUAGUAAUCGCGGAUCAGCACGCCGCGGNGAAUACGUUCCCGGGCCUUGUACACACCGCCCGUCACACCACGAGAGUUUGUAACACCCGAAGUCGGUGAGGUANCCUU